rnacentral:miRNA from 1 species
CUUCUUUAGCCUGCAGCAAACCCUCCCUCCCAGACCCUCCCACCUCCUGGACAGCUCACUAAGAAUGCAGCUUCACAAUGAAUGUAAAAUGGAUGCUGUCCAGGAGGUGGGAGGGUCUGGGAGGGAGGGUCUGCUGCUGAUUGGCUGG